AAAGAGGAAAGGAUAGGAGAAGCAGCAGCGCAGCGUGUGGAGGGGAGAAGCAGUGCGAGGUGAGGAGUAGCAGCAACACGAGGAGAGGAGAAAUAGCCCAAGACGAGAAGAAGCAGUAGCACGAGUUAGACUUGAAAUCAUUAUCAUGGCUCAUGAUGGUCUUCCUGAGCUUCUUCAACAGCGGUACGAUGACAACCAUAAGGGACAGAUGAUUUUCAUAGGGCAUCAGUUGCUUCUGUUACGAGUUCGGAGUGUCCACAUGAUUAAGGACUUAGACCCUCAAUUGCACGAGCCAGUCGCAUGGGCAGGACUACUACCUUUCGCUCUUAUGAUGGCCAGAGCUCCCAUGGCGGGUGUUAGCAGGACACCUCUCCAGCCAAUUGAGGAGCCACUGCU